GUAGGUGGCAAGCGUUGUCCGGGAAUUAUUGGGGCGUAAAGCGCGCGCAGGCGGUUCUUUAAGUCUGAUGUGAAAGCCCACGGGCUCAACCCGUGGAGGGUCAUUGGAAACUGGAGAACUUGAGUACAGAAGAGGAAAGCGGAGUUCCACGUGUAGCGGUCGAAAUGCGUAGAGAUGUGGAGGAACACCAGUGGCGAAGGCGGCUUUCUGGUCUGUAACUGACGCUGAGGCGCGAAAGCGUGGGGAGCAAACAGGAUUAGAUACCCUGGUAGUCCACGCCGUAAACGAUGAGUGCUAACGUGUUAGGGGGUUUCCGCCCCUUAGUGCUCGCAGCUAACGCAUUAAGCACUCCGCCUGGGGAGUACGGCCGCAAAGGCUG
rnacentral:rRNA from 1 species